UAUGGCUUCAAGAACCAAUAACAUGCCUGACACCUGAUACUGCUGCGCGCAACAAUUGUUCUAUUUCAAGAACUUGGAGGUUUCGUAAAGAUAUUUGUUACUUGAUCAUCAAACUUCUUACUGAUUUUCCAUGUGAGUUAUUAUAUGGGAGAGCUGGGUUCUUGCGGGCUUGCCUAUUUUAAAUUAGCAUAUUGGUAAAGAAACAAUCUCUACUAGCUGCAGAAGAACCCUUGUGGAUGAAAUAAUUAAGGCUGGAAGAUUGGCGAGCAAGGGAAGAUGUCUGUUGAUGUAUGAAUCGCACGGGAAAAAGUACUGGGGUGCUGGCCAUGGACUUGCUGGGAUCAUGCAUGCUUUGAUAGACAUGGAACUGAAACCAGAUGAGGUGGAGGAUGUCAAGUGCACAUUACAUUUCAUGAUCAGGAAUCGCUUUCCCAGUGGCAAUUAUACUUCAAGUGAAGGGAAUGAAUCAGAUCAUCUUGUGCAUUGAUGUCAUGGGACUCCUGGGUUUGCUCUUACCCUUGUGAAAGCAGCUGAGGUAAUCCUUUUAUGUGAUGCCAUCUGCGUAAAGUAGCCUAGGUGCUAAUGGAAUUUGUCUACGCAUGAGUGCUUGUGUGGAUUGUCAUUGACUUUGUGCAUUUUGGUUUGCCUACCUGCCUAAAAAAUUUGUGAAAAUACAUCAAUAGUCGAAUAAAUAAUGCUAAUUUUUCAUAUAAAUCAAUAAAUAAACUACUGCGAUGUUCGAUGAUA